GACGAACCGUGCGAACGUUAUUCGGAAUCACUGGGCUUAAAGCGCGUGUAGGCGGGGCGGCACGUCGGUCGCUGAAAGCCCCCGGCUCCAACCGGGGAAGUGGCGCCGGAUACGACCGCCCUGGAGGACGUAGGGGGACCUGGAACUUCCGGUGGAGGCGGUGAAAUGCGUUGAGAUCGGAAAGGAACGCCCGUGGCGAAAGCGAG
rnacentral:rRNA from 1 species